rnacentral:rRNA from 1 species
UACGUAGGGUGCAAGCGUUGUCCGGAAUUACUGGGCGUAAAGGGCUCGUAGGCGGCCAACUAAGUCGGAUGUGAAAUCCCCAGGCUUAACCUGGGAACUGCAUCCGAUACUGGAUGGCUUGAAUCCGGGAGAGGGAUGCGGAAUUCCAGGUGUAGCGGUGAAAUGCGUAGAUAUCUGGAGGAACACCGGUGGCGAAGGCGGCAUCCUGGACCGACACUGACGCUGAGGAGCGAAAGCCAGGGGAGCAAACGGG